rnacentral:rRNA from 1 species
AUUGAACGCUGGCGGCAGGCUUAACACAUGCAAGUCGAACGUGUGGCGGACGGGUGAGUAAUGCUGGGAAAUCUAGCUUAUGGAGGGGGAUAACUCCGGGAAACUGUAGCUAAUACCGCGUACCAUAGGAUGAGCCCAAGUGGGAUUAGGUAGUUGGUGAGGUAAAGGCUCACCAAGCCGACGAUCUCUAGCUGGUCUGAGAGGAUGACCAGCCACACUGCGACGGGGACACGGCCCAGAGUCCUACGGGAGGCAUCAGUGGGAAAUAGUGCGCAAUGGGGGCAACCUGACGCAGCCAUGCCGCGUGAAUGAAGACGGCCUUCGGGUUGUAAAGUUCUUUCGGUAGCGAGGCGUUAACUACAGAAGAAGCACCGGCUAAAUCCGUGACAGCCGCCGCGGUAAUAC